rnacentral:rRNA from 1 species
UACGUAGGGUGCGAGCGUUAAUCGGAAUUACUGGGCGUAAAGCGUGCGCAGGCGGUUUUGUAAGUCUGACGUGAAAGCCCCGGGCUUAACCUGGGAAUUGCGUUGGAGACUGCAAGGCUUGAAUCUGGCAGAGGGGGGUAGAAUUCCACGUGUAGCAGUGAAAUGCGUAGAGAUGUGGAGGAACACCGAUGGCGAAGGCAGACCCCUGGGUCAAGAUUGACGCUCAUGCACGAAAGCGUGGGGAGCAAACAGG